rnacentral:rRNA from 1 species
GACGUAGGAGGCAAGCGUUGUCCGGAAUUAUUGGGCGUAAAGCGCGUGUAGGCGGCUCGGUAAGUCUGCUGUGAAAGUCCAAGGCUCAACCUUGGAAAGCCGGUGGAUACUGUCGAGCUCGAGUCCGGAAGAGGCGAGUGGAAUUCCUGGUGUAGCGGUGAAAUGCGCAGAUAUCAGGAGGAACACCAAUGGCGAAGGCAGCUCGCUGGGACGGUACUGACGCUGAGACGCGAAAGCGUGGGGAGCAAACAGG